rnacentral:lncRNA from 1 species
GGGCCUGGCUGGGGCCCUACCGGCAGGCGCUGCCCCCCGGCCCGGCCCCGGGGCCAGCGGCGAGGCGCCGGGCGGUGCUCGCCGCCUGCCCGCUCUGCUGCCGGCGGCGCGGGGAGCUGCUUUCCUUUGCCUUUUCUUUCUUCUUCUUUUUUUGGCCUCUCUUUUUCCAUUUCAGGAUCUGUCUCACUGGAGGCGGACGCGGCUCGCGGCCCCACGCGUGGGUUUCCGCCGCGACGCGCAGGGUGCGGGGCGGAGGCGCGGAAGCCCCUCGGGGGGCGGGGGGGGCACACUGCCCGGCACGGCCAAGCCUGGGGAGCCGGCCCCGGCCCCGGCCCCAAACCCGCUCCUCCCGGGGCCCGCCCGCCUCCGCCGGCCCUUUCCCGCUGGGGCGAAACGUGCAACUCCCCGAGGCGCCGCUUUUCGCCGCCGCCCGACGGCCGCAGCGCUCCCACGCGCGGCGGCGGGGAAACCCGGACCGCACCGGGUCACGAAGGAGUCACGCGGGACCCGUCGAAACGGCCCCUUCGCGCUGCCAGGGCUGCCGCUCGCAAGCGGUUAAACCACCCCCGAAACCUGCCGCCGCGGGGUCGGUGCAGCGGGCGAGGCCGUCGGGCGGCGGCGCACCUGGCGCUCCCGGCUCUCCCGGCGCUCCCACGCGUGUUUCCCUCCGCCCCGCAAGCCACGGAGGGGCUCCCGCCUGGGGCCGCGCCGCGCCCGGGGAGCUGUCCCCUGUGCCGAGACGUGCCGAGCCGAGCUGCCCCGUCGCUGCCACCCCGCAUCCAGCUGUGGCCACCCCUGCCUGGUGGUGACCAUGACACCACGAUGCGCCCGAGCGCGACCCGCUCGGCCUCCGCAGCUGCUGCCCCCAACCCCAGUGCUGGAUGGCGGCAGCCUCCCGGCCUCUGCCAGCACGGGAAAACGUUAUUUUCCUGUCCCAUCGCUAGCAGUAGGGGAGCUAGCCCCUGGAGCGACGGAGCAGGGUGGCCCCGCUGGCCCCUGCCGGCAGUGGGCCUCGGCGCGACUGCGUGCCAUGGGCACUGUGCGGAGGAGGGCUCGCUCCCUGUUUUUUCUUCAGCACGGGCUCAGUUUGCCUGGGUGACAUGUUCAGCCUCCGCUUGUAGCUGUAAGUGCUGCAGGGGCUUUGGGACAAGGGUGCAGAAGUGUGUCUGGAUGCACAGGGAGAUAGGCUAA